rnacentral:piRNA from 1 species
UGCCUGGAGGGUUUCACGACUAGACUCCUAGG